GACGAACGCUGGCGGCGUGCUUAACACAUGCAAGUCGAACGGGUCUGCCCUGUUUUUUGCGGGGUGGGUCAGUGGCGAACGGGUGAGUAACACGUGAGUAACCUGCCCCUCACUUCUGGAUAACCGCUUGAAAGGGUGGCUAAUACGGGGUGUUCUGGCUGUGCCGCAUGGUGUGGCUGGGAAAGAUUCACUUUUGGGGUGUUUUGGUGGGGGAUGGGCUCGCGGCCUAUCAGCUUGUUGGUGGGGUGAUGGCCUGCCAAGGCUUUGACGGGUUGCCGGGCUGGGAGGGUGGGCCGCCCUAGUGGGGAUGGGCGACCGGCCCGACUCCGGGGGGAGGCAGGGGGGGGUGGUAUUGCACAAUGGGCGGAAGCCUGAUGCAGCGACGUCGCGUGAGGGAUGGAGGCCUGCGGGUUGUGAACCUCUUUCGCCGGUGAAGAAGGUCCUGCUCUUUGUGGUGGGGUUGACGGUAGCCGGGUUAUGAAGCGCCGGCUAACUACGUG
rnacentral:rRNA from 1 species